GGCAUUUCGAGGAGAGACCGGCACGGAUUCCAUGUGCACAUGUUGGGUGGAUUUUGUAGUAGUACGAUUAGAGAAGAAGACAACAGGAAUGCGAUUAGUUUAUGCACCACAGGCGAAGUAUUCUGAGUCUUCUUAGCUCUGUUGUAAAACGCGAGUUGUAGUUUUAUCAGAAGUUAAGCUGCUUUGUGUUUUAAUCUAUAUUUAGAAAAAAAAA
rnacentral:lncRNA from 7 species